rnacentral:rRNA from 1 species
ACAUCUUGGAGUUCGAUUAGCCAUGCGAGUCUAAAGGUUUCUUCGGAAGCCUUGGCGGACUGCUCAGUAACACGUGGAUAACCUGCCCUUAGGUCUGGCAUAACCCCGGGAAACUGGGGAUAAUACCGGAUAGAUCAGGGGUCGCUGGAAUGCGCCCUGAUCCAAAGCUCCGGCGCCUAAGGAUGGGUCUGCGACCUAUCAGGUUGUAGUGGGUGUAAUGUACCUACUAGCCGACGACGGGUACGGGUUGUGAGAGCAAGAGCCCGGAGAUGGAUUCUGAGACACGAAUCCAGGCCCUACGGGGUGCAGCAGGCGCGAAACCUUUACAAUGUGCGAAAGCAUGAUAAGGGAACUCCGAGUGCCAGCAUUAAAUGUUGGCUGUCCUUGUGCCUAAAACGCACAAGAUAGCAAGGGCCGGGUAAGACCGGUGCCAGCCGCCGCGGUAACACCGGCGGCCCGAGUGGUAAUCGCUAUUAUUGGGUCUAAAGGGUCCGUAGCCGGUUUGAUAAGUCCUCUGGGAAAUCUGAUUGCUCAACAAUCAGGCUGCCAAGGGAUACUGUCAAACUUGAGACCGGGAGAGGUAAGAGGUACUUCAGGGGUAGGAGUGAAAUCUUAUAAUCCUUGGGGGACCGUCUGUGGCGAAGGCGUCUUACCAGAACGGGUCUGACGGUGAGGGACGAAAGCUGGGGGCGCGAACCGGAUUAGAUACCCGGGUAGUCCCAGCCGUAAACGAUGCUCGCUAUGUGUCAGAUACGGUGCGACCGUAUCUGGUGCCGUAGGGAAGCCGUGAAGCGAGCCACCUGGGAAGUACGGCCGCAAGGCUGAAACUUAAAGGAAUGGCGGGGAGCACUACA